GAAUCCGCUAAGGAGUGUGUAACAACUCACCUGCCGAAUGAAUUAGCCCUGAAAAUGGAUGGCGCUUAAGCGGGCAGCCGACACCGCGCCGUUCCGGCGAGACGAUGCCGGGAUGAGUAGGAGGGCGUGGCGGUCAGUGACGCAGGCGAGGGUGCAGACCCCGCUGAAACGGCCGCUAGUGCAGAUCUUGGUGGUAGUAGCAAAUAUUCAAGCGAGAUCCUUGAAGGGCGAAGCGGGGAAGGGUUCCACGCAAACAUUGAUUGGGCGUGGGUGAGUCGUUCCUAAGCCGAGUGGCAAUUGCUAAGUAGCGGCGAAAGGGAAGCGGGUUAAAAUUCCCGCACACGGAUAUGGAGGCGGCGACGCAAGCAGAGGCAAAUACGCUGGCGAGGGCGCUGGGCAGAGUUGUCUUUUCUGUUUGACCGGCAUCGCGCUGUGUGGAAUCCGCUUAUCGGGAGAAACACGCGCGGGGAGGGGCAGAGCGUCAGGUCUUUUCUGGCGUCCGGCUCGCCCUCGACGGCCCUUGAAAAUUUGCCCGCGAACUUAAAUUUCAUGCUGUGACGUACCGAUAACCGCAUCAGGUCCCCAAGGUGAACAGCCUCUGCUCAAUAUGAACAAUGCAGGUAAGGGAAGUCGGCA
rnacentral:rRNA from 1 species